UGGGGGAAUAUUGCACAAUGGGCGCAAGCCUGAUGCAGCAACGCCGCGUGAGGGAAGACGGUUUUCGGAUUGUAAACCUCUGUCUUUGGUGACGAAGAAGUGACGGUAGCCAAGGAGGAAGCCACGGCUAACUACGUGCCAGCAGCCGCGGUAAUACGUAGGUGGCAAGCGUUAUCCGGAAUUACUGGGUGUAAAGGGUGUGUAGGCGGGCUCGCAAGUUGGAUGUGUAAUACCCAGAGCUUAACUCGGGUGCUGCAUCUGAAACUACGAGUCUUGAGUGUCGGAGAGGUAAGUGGAAUUCCUAGUGUA
rnacentral:rRNA from 1 species